rnacentral:rRNA from 1 species
AUGAACGCUAGCGACAGGCCUAACACAUGCAAGUCGAGGGCAGCGACAAGGAGCAAUCUGAGGUGGCGACCGGCGCACGGGUGAGUAACACGUAUGCAACCUGCCUGUAAGCGGGGAAUAACCCGUUGAAAGACGGACUAAUACCGCAUAAUACUAAAUUACUGCAUGGUAAUUUAUUUAAACAUUUAUGGCUUACAGAUGGGCAUGCGCAUGAUUAGCUAGUUGGAGAGGUAACGGCUCCCCAAGGCAACGAUCAUUAGGGGUUCUGAGAGGAAGGUCCCCCACACUGGUACUGAGACACGGACCAGACUCCUACGGGAGGCAGCAGUGAGGAAUAUUGGUCAAUGGACGAGAGUCUGAACCAGCCAAGUCGCGUGCAGGAAGAAUGUCCUAUGGAUUGUAAACUGCUUUUGCAGGGGAAUAAAGUGCAUCACGUGUGAUGUUUUGUAUGUACUCUGCGAAUAAGGAUCGGCUAACUCCGUGCCAGCAGCAGC